rnacentral:rRNA from 1 species
AAGUUUGAUCAUGGCUCAGAUUGAACGCUGGCGGCAUGCCUUACACAUGCAAGUCGAACGGCAGCACGGGGCAACCUGGUGGCGAGUGGCGAACGGGUGAGUAAUGCAUCGGAACGUGCCAUUGAGUGGGGGAUAACGUAGCGAAAGUUGCGCUAAUACCGCAUAUGCUCUGAGGAGGAAAGUGGGGGACCCGCAAGGGCCUCACGCUCUGGGAGCGGCCGAUGUCCGAUUAGCUAGUUGGUGGGGUAAAGGCCCACCAAGGCGACGAUCGGUAGCUGGUCUGAGAGGAUGAUCAGCCACACUGGGACUGAGACACGGCCCAGGCUCCUACGGGAGGCAGCAGUGGGGAAUUUUGGACAAUGGGGGCAACCCUGAUCCAGCCAUGCCGCGUGCGGGAAGAAGGCCUUCGGGUUGUAAACCGCUUUUAGUCGGGAAGAAAAGGCAACUCUUAAUACGGGUUGUUCUUGACGGUACCGGCGGAAUAAGCACCGGCUAACUACGUG